CCAGCCUCCCUGAUUAGUGUAGUAUCUGUAUCAGUUUCAUAUCUGAUAUGUCCUCUAUUCAAGAACAAUAUAUUAAAUGGAUUUUUGGAAAUAGGAGAUGGAAUAGGAGCUUGCUGUAUCCACUCCACACAUUGACCUGGUAUUGCAGUACUUCCAAGAACAGUGCACCCAAA
ensembl:snRNA U2 U2 spliceosomal RNA